GAGCCCAAAGCAAAAAACGUGUUCAGUGGCAUGGCAUUUUAGUUGCAGCCCACACGUGUUUUCUUCUAUUCACUAUGAAGCCAUGUGGACGGUUAGAUGAAACUUGAUCAACGGUUGAUGGUGGAAGUAUAAAUAUUAUCCCUUGGUUACCCUAUUCAAUCAUAUCGUCAUUUCUUGGUCAUUGGUGUGUGAUUUUUCAAGAUUCUUCUUCUUCCCACUUUUCUGUAUUCUUCCAAUCUCUAAUUGGAAGUGUUUUCUGUGUGAUUGUUUAUUAGUGAAAACAUAUACUUAGUGUAUUGAAAGGGUUGGUGUGAGUCUAUUACCCUUGUGGUUUCCUUUAAUCGAUAGAGGAAUGCUUUAGGGUUUUCUGGGUGGAUCUCGUGGUAUCACAGACGGGUACAGUCCUAGUUUUAUUGAGUCUGGAGCCCCAAAUGUAAUGAUCUUUACUUUGAUGCCUCAAUCUGAGUUUUCUUGAUAGGGUUAAAUAAAUUUCUGUUUUGGAACUUGAUUGUGCUAAGUAUUCUUGAGUAUUCUUGUAUAUUUGGUUCGAUGCUUGACAUAACAAUCCAAGUACUGGUUUCUAAAUGAUUUAGUUUCAUAUUAUGUGCCCAGAAUUUGCUAAACUCAACAUUCCAUGCGCAUUCUUCAGCGCAUUUAGUGCUGGUCCAACGUGGAAUAUUGGAAAAUAAACCAGAAGAUUUCAUUGUGAAACUCCCCUUAGAAACAUCCGACAGUUUCGCGAUGUAACUAUAGAUGGCGGAAAUGUUUCAGGCAUUUACCGGGUCGCUGCCAUAUAGUAGCUGUAAGAAGUUAUGAAUUUGAGUCUGAGUGGCUACAAAAUCUAGAGAGUAUUUUCAAAAAGCAUAAUAUUUCAGUCUGGUGAUUCUACGCGCAGCAUCAAAACUGGCUUGAAAUUAAGGAAUGGCUUGAGCUGUUUAUGUCUAAACCAAAUCAAGAUGAACCUGCUGAAGUUACAUUAGGUUUGGAGAAGUGGGAAUUUCCAUAUAUUGAGGUGCCACAACUCGAGGUAAUAAGUCAUGACUCGGUGGACUCUCGACCCAUUCAGGGCUCAGCUCUGUGGUAGAGGCAUUGCAAUUUGGGAAAUGGCUUAUCUUAUUGACUUUCAAGCCUUCCAGCCUUUUGAAGGAAAAGAAGAUAGGAAGUGACAUUAUCUACAAAAUCACAGCAAGACAUUCAAGUAUUCUAAUAGAAAUUUAACGAAAAUUUCAAGUUAACUAUGAAUUAGAAUUGUCAUUUUUCAAGCAUUACUUCGUUUGUACGUAACUGUUGAGAGAGAGAUAAUGAAAGACCGUGCAGAGAGGAGAUGAACAGAAGUCAAGCUUUUCAAGUGAGUCUAAUGAUGAGCUCUUUGUUUUAGCCUAGGAGAAUUCAUAUUAUCAUUUUAAGAUAUCCAAGCGUUAAAUGGAUAAGUACCCUUUUUUUUUCUUUUUUUUUUCUUUUUUUCUUUUUUGCUUAAUUUUUCACUUACAAGUUAAAAGGAAAAAGUAAGGGUCUUUCAAAAUCAAGAAACAACAGAUUUCAUUGAAAAGUAAUCGAUUCAAGCAUCUCAGCUUUCAAAAGUAUAUGCUUGUUUGCAUGUGCAUCUUCAUCCGCACCCAGAAAAGAGGCUCAAAGACCAGAGUUGCAUUUGCCUUUCUAUUUAUUGGUAGUAGUAAUCAUAUUAUACACAAAUAAUCUCACUCGAUGUCUUAAUGAUGUACAUAAAGGGAGGUAAAUGAACUAGGGUACCUAUUGAAUCCAAACAAGAUUGCAACCUUUUUGUCGAACGGGGUAUUGC
rnacentral:lncRNA from 1 species